CUGAGAUCCCCACCAAUGGAGAGCUGUCAACUUACCAUGGCUGCUUCAUUCUUAAAUCUCCAUUUUCUGUAGAUUGAAUAAUUUGUAACAGACCAAUGCUGCAGAUGAGACAACUAGACAUCAGAUGGAUGUGGAAGCCACAGAAAAGAAAGAGAAGAACUUUCUUCUAGAACUAAGCUCUCUGGAACAACUACCUCCCCAACACCCACCACCAAGAGUUUGCCUGUUUGAGCCGUAUGCUAUGGACAGCUUUGGGUAAGGGUUGAUGGUAAAGGAAAGAGACACAGCAGAGCUUUUACCUGUCAUGUAGGUGUAAAUUUAAAAAAAAAAAACUGGAAACUCGAGAGUCUUUAAUACACAGUCAGUUUCCUCUGACUUUUUACAGACAUCUGAGAAGGGGGUUGUCUGUGGUAAUGGACUUUGGCUAUCAAUGGGAAAUGAGUUUGCUGUUACACAAAGAAAGGUAGUAUCUGGAGACUCCUGGAGUACAUCCCUAGACUGUUGUUUUCAGAGGUAAAUAAAAUUUAACUACAUAACAUUUUGGACUGUGUAAUGCCUCUUGAAUCUUAUGAGUUACCACAGGAGGGAAGGUCUUCAGAUGAAACAGGAAGCUAUUCUAAUAAUGGGCAACAUUGAAUUGGAAAUCAUGCAUUCUGAAUGAAAAAAGAACAUGACUUUAGUCUGGACCUGAAUCUGGAUUCCAAACAUAUCUAUUACGUGGAUAAUUAACUCGCACUUAAACUUUUGUUUAAGUAUCUGCUCCCGAAAUGUAGUAAUAGUCUUCAUAUUCUCUCUUUUACUCCCCAUCUCCUCUCUACUACUUUAAUAAAAUAAAAUAAAAUCUUUUUCGUAGGUAACAAAAGGCAAGUGGAGCUACUGAAGCAAAGCUCAUCAGGUAGAGAUGAUUGAGGUCUCUAAGACCAAACAGCCAACAUUAAAAUGACAUAUUUUAAAAUGUCCAAUGAGUAUACAAAAGUUGCACAUGGUUUUGUGCUGAAAGCAACAAAUACUGAAGUAGGAAAAGGAGUACUAGAAAAUGUUUCAUGAAUACCAGCUUCUAAUGAUUCUGGACUCUCUGCUUGUACAAAGUUCUCAGAUUCAGUGAUGAGUGUAUACUCAUGAUGAAUCCCAUUCACUUGAAUGGUUUUAUCUCUUUUGCAACAAAUUCUUCCUAAUAAAAAUAUUCACAACUUCUGUAAGAAUUUAUCUCUGAUUUGAAAUGCUGAUAUUUAUUUUUAUCUUCUUGAAUUUAAAUUGGUCUCAUUUUUUAAAGUAACUACAUUAAGCAUUUUUUUUUUCUGGGAUCUACAGUUUUUCCCAUAUAAAAUUUUAGAUCAAGGUUUUUGUAAGAGUAAUUGCUAUUUCACAUUUUUAUUCAAAAAUUAUAUAAAAUAUCCUACAUUUCCAUUUGGGGAAAAAUGUGGAAAAGAGCUAUCAUAUUGUUAGUCCCCCAAUGUAUUUUAUCCUUUUGAAAAAUUUAACAAGAUACAUACCACUGAAAAUUAUAUGCCUUCUUGAAUCAAUUAAUAUAGCAGAUAUCAUGUACUCCUUUUAAUAAUAUUUGUUCAUAAUCUUAGAAAUAAAUGUAUGACUCAAGGUGCCCACGUAGAUCAAAAUCUAUCAUUUACUCGGCCCAUACUUCCCUUUUAUUUGUCUCUUCUUACCUUUUAAAAUAAACUUUUUUUUACUUUAAAGCAGUUUCAAAUUGACAAAGUAAUUUGGAGAGCAAUAGAGAGAGUUCUCAUGUUCUCUAUACUCAGUUGCCCCCAUUAUUAACAUAUUUACAUGAGACAUUUAGUAAAAUCAAUAUUAAUAUUGUUACCACAUCAACAAAUAUAGACAUAUUAUAAUUAACUAAAGUUCAUAGUUUAUUCAGACUUUCUUAGUUUUUACUUACUAUCCUUUUUAUGUUCCAGGGUCCCCUUCAAGAUAUGACAUUAUAUUUAGUCCUCAUGUCUCUUUUGUCUCCUCUUGACUAUGGCAGUUUCCUUUAUUACCCUUGUGUUUGAUGGCCUUGAUAAUUUUGAGUGGUAUAGGCAUUUUGUUGAAUUCCCUUCAAGUGGGAUUUGUAUGAUGUUUUUCUGAUUAUUUUACAGUAAUUAUGUUUCCUUGGGAAGACCACAGAGGUAAAGUGCCUUACACAUCAUAUCAAGAGUACAUACCAUCACCAUCACUUACUAUUAUGAUAUUAACCUUGAUCAUUUGGCUGAGGUUGGUUAGUCAACUUUAUCCAAUGAAAAAUUAUUCUUUUUCACCCCCACCCUUUUCAUAAUUUAGCCUUUGGAAGAAAAUUACUAUGUUUAGUCAAUACUUAAGAGGGUGGAGUUGGUAAAUCUACAACUUCUUGAGUGUGGAGUACCUAUAUAAAUUAGUUGGACUUCUUUAUGGAAAAUUUGUCUCUUCUAAAAUUUUUUCUCAUUUAUUUAUUUAUUAAGUCAUUUAUUUAUGUAUCAGUAUGUACUCAUGGAUAUUUUAUACAUUACAGUGUAAUCUAAUACUAUGUUACUUAUAAUGUUGCUGAAAUUUUUCAAGCUUUGAACAUUAAACAAGCUCUUAGUUGGCUCCUGUGUCUCUGACAUACCCCAUCAUUUUUUAUUUUUUUCUCUCUUCUUUCUUUUUCUUUCUUCUUUCUUUCUUUUUCUUUUUCUUUCUCUCUCUCUCCUUCCUUCCUUUUCUUUCCUUUCUUUUCCUUCUUUCCUUCCUUCCUUUCCCUUCCCUUACCCUCCCUCCCUCCCUUCCUUCAAUCCAUCCAUCUUUUUCUCUUUCUUUCUCUCUUUCUCUCUCUCUCUCUUUCUCUCUUUCUCAUUAAAAGAUACUUUAGACCGGUCACGGUGGCUCACGCCUGUAAUCCCAGCACUUUGGAAGGCCGAGGCAGGCAGAUCACAAGGUCAGGACAUCAAGACCAUCCUGUGAAUGGUGAAACCCCAUCUCUACUAAAAAUGCAAAAAAAUAGCUGGGUGUGGUGGCAGGCGCCUGUAGUCCCAACUACUCAGGAGGCUGAGGCGGGAGAAUGGAGUGAACCUGGGGGGUGGAGCUUGCAUCAGCCUGGGCGACAGAGCGAGACUCCGUCUAAAAAAAAAAAAGAUACUUCAGCCUCAGCCUCAGCCUCAGCCUCAGCCUCAUCUUGUAAAUUUUCUGCCUAGUCCGAGGCAGAAAAUACAUUUCUCCAAAAAGCCCUAUUUUCUUUUAUUGGAUAAUGGUAUUAGACACCAAGAGCUGGGUGUUUCAGUAUGCUCGUUGUCACUAGGAUGUCAUUGCUUGUAGGCCUUCUCAGCUAAGAGAAAGAAAAUAUAUGUGUAUAUACUAACUCAUGUAUAUACAG
rnacentral:lncRNA from 10 species